rnacentral:rRNA from 1 species
GAUGAAUGCUGGCGGCGUGCCUAAUACAUGCAAGUCGAGCGAACAGAUGAGGAGCUUGCUCCUCUGACGUUAGCGGCGGACGGGUGAGUAACACGUGGAUAACCUACCUAUAAGACUGGGAUAACUUCGGGAAACCGGAGCUAAUACCGGAUAAUAUAUUGAACCGCAUGGUUCAAUAGUGAAAGACGGUUUUGCUGUCACUUAUAGAUGGAUCCGCGCCGCAUUAGCUAGUUGGUAAGGUAACGGCUUACCAAGGCAACGAUGCGUAGCCGACCUGAGAGGGUGAUCGGCCACACUGGCACUGAGACACGGUCCAGACUCCUACGGGAGGCAGCAGUAGGGAAUCUUCCGCAAUGGGCGAAAGCCUGACGGAGCAACGCCGCGUGAGUGAUGAAGGUCUUCGGAUCGUAAAACUCUGUUAUUAGGGAAGAACAAAUGUGUAAGUAACUAUGCACGUCUUGACGGUACCUAAUCAGAAAGCCACGGCUAACUACGUG